ACUCAGGAUGUGCUUGCUUCCCCUCCGCCUUCGUCAUGAUUAAAAGUUUCUUGAAGCCUCCGCAGCCACGCCACCGGCACAGUCUGCAGAACUUGAUGCUGGCUUACAGGAGGACAGAAGCCUGACUGAACUGAAGAUUCCCUAGAUGCCGCAGCUGGAGUGCCACUGCCAGGAUGUUUGUUGGAAGUGGAGGGUGAAAGUUUGUAUAAGGAUGGCGAUUUAUAUACUGAAAAUGUGUGACAGUGUCAUGACUCCAAGAAGAAGCAACAAAGCAAUGGCUCCUCCAUUUCUUCCUUGCCUCCCUCUGCUAACCCCGAACAUCCCCCUUCAGAGAAAUGGGCACUGGAGCAUAGAGGAAAGACUUCCAAAGUAACGAGGAAUGUUUUCUAAAUGAUGGUGUUGUGCUUUGAAGAAACAGUGAUGUCAUUCAGUAUUCUUCUUCCAAAGAGAGAGCCUGUUCUUUUGGUAUUUCAGUUCAUUUAGAAUGGUGUCACUCAUUAGGGUCUCCCAAAGGCUCCAUUCAAAACAACGUCUUUAAGUACCCACUUGAGUGCCAUGAAGCCAUUAAAAUAGGCAUCAUUUCCACUCCAUCUAAGCUUUCCAUCAGGGUGGACAAACAUGUUAAAGGGCAGACAAACAGAGCUACACAACAUUGAGAGAAACAGAAACAAAUGGAGACCCUACCUCGCAAAUAAAUACAAUGUUAAAUACUGA